CAGGAUGAACGCUGGCGGCGUGCCUAAUACAUGCAAGUCGAGCGAACAGACAAGGAGCUUGCUCCUUUGACGUUAGCGGCGGACGGGUGAGUAACACGUGGGUAACCUACCUAUAAGACUGGGAUAACUUCGGGAAACCGGAGCUAAUACCGGAUAAUAUUUCGAACCGCAUGGUUCGAUAGUGAAAGAUGGUUUUGCUAUCACUUAUAGAUGGACCCGCGCCGUAUUAGCUAGUUGGUAAGGUAACGGCUUACCAAGGCGACGAUACGUAGCCGACCUGAGAGGGUGAUCGGCCACACUGGAACUGAGACACGGUCCAGACUCCUACGGGAGGCAGCAGUAGGGAAUCUUCCGCAAUGGGCGAAAGCCUGACGGAGCAACGCCGCGUGAGUGAUGAAGGUCUUCGGAUCGUAAAACUCUGUUAUUAGGGAAGAACAUACGUGUAAGUAACUAUGCACGUCUUGACGGUACCUAAUCAGAAAGCCACGGCUAACUACGUGCCAGCAGCCGCGGUAAUACGUAGGUGGCAAGCGUUAUCCGGAAUUAUUGGGCGUAAAGCGCGCGUAGGCGGUUUUUUAAGUCUGAUGUGAAAGCCCACGGCUCAACCGUGGAGGGUCAUUGGAAACUGGAAAACUUGAGUGCAGAAGAGGAAAGUGGAAUUCCAUGUGUAGCGGUGAAAUGCGCAGAGAUAUGGAGGAACACCAGUGGCGAAGGCGACUUUCUGGUCUGUAACUGACGCUGAUGUGCGAAAGCGUGGGGAUCAAACAGGAUUAGAUACCCUGGUAGUCCACGCCGUAAACGAUGAGUGCUAAGUGUUAGGGGGUUUCCGCCCCUUAGUGCUGCAGCUAACGCAUUAAGCACUCCGCCUGGGGAGUACGACCGCAAGGUUGAAACUCAAAGGAAUUGACGGGGACCCGCACAAGCGGUGGAGCAUGUGGUUUAAUUCGAAGCAACGCGAAGAACCUUACCAAAUCUUGACAUCCUUUGACAACUCUAGAGAUAGAGCCUUCCCCUUCGGGGGACAAAGUGACAGGUGGUGCAUGGUUGUCGUCAGCUCGUGUCGUGAGAUGUUGGGUUAAGUCCCGCAACGAGCGCAACCCUUAAGCUUAGUUGCCAUCAUUAAGUUGGGCACUCUAAGUUGACUGCCGGUGACAAACCGGAGGAAGGUGGGGAUGACGUCAAAUCAUCAUGCCCCUUAUGAUUUGGGCUACACACGUGCUACAAUGGACAAUACAAAGGGCAGCGAAACCGCGAGGUCAAGCAAAUCCCAUAAAGUUGUUCUCAGUUCGGAUUGUAGUCUGCAACUCGACUACAUGAAGCUGGAAUCGCUAGUAAUCGUAGAUCAGCAUGCUACGGUGAAUACGUUCCCGGGUCUUGUACACACCGCCCGUCACACCACGAGAGUUUGUAACACCCGAAGCCGGUGGAGUAACCAUUUGGAGCUAGCCGUCGAAGGUGGGACAAAUGAUUGGGGGUGAAGUCGUAACAAGGUAGCCGUAUCGGAAGGUGCGGAUGGAA
rnacentral:rRNA from 1 species